UGGGGAAUUUUGGACAAUGGGCGAAAGCCUGAUCCAGCAAUGCCGCGUGUGUGAAGAAGGCCUUCGGGUUGUAAAGCACUUUUGUCCGGAAAGAAAUCCUUGGCUCUAAUACAGUCGGGGGAUGACGGUACCGGAAGAAUAAGCACCGGCUAACUACGUGCCAGCAGCCGCGGUAAUACGUAGGGUGCAAGCGUUAAUCGGAAUUACUGGGCGUAAAGCGUGCGCAGGCGGUUUGCUAAGACCGAUGUGAAAUCCCCGGGCUCAACCUGGGAACUGCAUUGGUGACUGGCAGGCUAGAGUAUGGCAGAGGGGGGUAGAAUUCCACGUGUAGCAGUGAAAUGCGUAGAGAUGUGGAGGAAUACCGAUGGCGAAGGCAGCCCCCUGGGCCAAUACUGACGCUCAUGCACGAAAAGCGUGGGGGAGCAAACAGGAUUAGAUACCCUGGUAGUCCACGCCCUAAACGAUGUCAACUAGUUGUUGGGGAUUCAUUCCUUAGUAACGUAGCUAACGCGUGAAGUUGACCGCCUGGGGAGUACGGUCGCAAGAUUAAAACUCAAAUGAAUUGACGGGGUCAUAGCUGUUUCCU
rnacentral:rRNA from 1 species